CCCAUGCUAAAAAAGAGGAAGAGAGGCAGCUGCAGUACGUUGGACGAAAUUACAGAGGAUGUCAAAUGACAGGCAGUUGUGGCCAUGUAAUUCUGGUCAGAGCCUCCCAACCCUAAUUGCCUGCCAUUUCAGAGACAACCAUUAUUUACUCCUUUCAGAUGCUGGAGUGGCAGAGACAGCACGCGAGCAGAGUUCCAAGGAGGAAAAGAAGGAGGGGAAGAAAAGGAAUAAUCAAGUCUGACCUAAAAGAAUCCAAGAUAUUGAAAACUGCAUAUUUUAACAGAGCAAAAUUCCCAUGGUCUGGAGGCCUAGGUGUGAUGGGGAAGGAUUGACCAGGAGCCAGCUAUGCUGAAGAGUCUUUGGACUAUUUCUCUCCUUUGUUUCUGGAUACGAUCAUGUCGAAAUGGGGUCUUUGCAACUAAUCCAGCCAGCUCCUCUCUUCCCAGUUUGACAGUGAUGCAGCCCUGGGAGGCAAAGGCAGCCAGCACAGGUCUCUAGGGCCCUGCACCCAGAGCUUGCCCAUACCCAGUGGCAGGGCUAGGCUGCCACCUUGAACCCUUCAGCUCAGACCUGGGCAGGGUGAAUAGCUAAAGCAUUUGGUCAAAUUCUUCCUUGGGACACAAAUUGAGAUCUUCUUAGAACAUACCCACUCCCUCACCACCCCUGCAAACAAAGCAGGAAGUUGUUUUCUUAAACCCCAAUACGUUUUGCCAAAUAAGAGAGUGUUAAUAUUCCCCUCCCCCCACCCCCACAUGAAUUGGAUUACUUAAAGCGUCUUUUCUGAGACGUCAGCAGUUUAAUAGAGGCAAUAAGUCAGGGCUGCCCUGGUGUUUUAUUUUUCUGCCAGUAUUUAGUUAAUUAAAGAAUGCAAAUUAAAACACCUUAAUUUAUAUAAUAUCAAUACCAACGCCUUAAAACAUUUGGCAUAACUGCUCUGGCACGUCCCUUACAUAAACUCUUCGGAGCAGUGCUAAUAAAAAUGAAAAAGGUUGUAAAUCAAGUUUAAUUUAUUCAUUUUCUGUUUGGUAUGAAAGCAUAUGCCAAAAUCAAGUUAUUUAUGAGUGCAUCAUAACAAGAGGCGUUUUUACUGGUGGCAAAUGACAAAAAGGGUUUUCAGAGGAGUGUGUAUUUUAAUUUUGAAAUGUCUCCAGGUAUGCGUCUAUUUUCUGGACUUUGAUCUCUAAAAUUUAUAUUUUUGCACCCAUACCUCCAGAGGAAAAUAGGCUGAAAGAUUGAAAAAUAUAUCGGGACUAAAAACAUGGCACCAUCUGCUCAGAAAGGCACCUGCCACCAUCUCUAUGUAGAUAGAUGUAUACACAAUACGCAUCAGUAUAUGAGUCUGCAGGUAGGAUAAAAGGUUGGUGAUUUAUAUCCUAUUUCUUAAAUAUUCCAUUAAGAGGAUUAUCUCACAGGACGCUCAGCUACAGACAGCAUCGAAAAGGAUUUGGUGUGUGGCUGCUUUCUUGGAAGACUUAGAGAUGAACUACAUGUACGUGAAUGAGCAGGCGAAAACCCAUUUUCGUCUUUCCCUCCUUAUCCUGAAACACCUUUCUUUGUCUGGCAGAUGUGGACCUAGUAGCUUUGAUUUGGCCCUACAGGAAGAACAGUAGGCUCCAUUUAGGGGUACUGAGGAAUGGCAUGUUCUCCCUCCUUCCCUUGGCAAAACUCCCUUAACGCCAUUGUUCCUGUUAAGGCCGCUCCUCACCCACCUUUCAGCGCCACUCUUUACUCGAGCAGGUCUCAGGGCAUGUGGGACAGUGGAGAGAAGGUCUGAAGAAACCCUCUCUACUCUCCAUCAUCCCUUAUCCCAUGCUGACAAACCCAAGCAAAUUCACAAAUAUAACCCUCUAGCCUGCCCACGGAGCCCUGGUGUCGCAGUGGUUAAAAACUCGGCUGCUAACGAAAAGGCUGGCAGUUCGAAUCCACUAGCUGCUCCUUGGAAACCCUAUGGGAUAGUUCUAAUCUUCCUGUAGGGUCACUAUGAGUCGGAACUGACUCGAUGUCAACGGGUUUGGCUUUUUUGGUCUAGCUGGCCCAUAGGAGUCCCUGGGUGACACAAAGGAUUAAGAGCUGGGCUGCAAAGCAAAAGGCUGGAGGUUCAAGUCCACCUAGAGGUGCCUCAGAAGAAAGACCUGGCUACUACUUUCCAAAAAUCAGCCAUUGAAAACCCUUUGAAGCAUAGCUCUACUCUGACACACUUAGGACUGCCAGGAGUCAGCGUAGACUCAAUAGAAACCGGUUACUGGUUGGCCUGCUCACGGCCUCUUUACCUGGUAGGGGGAAAAAGUACAAUGCUAUGCCGUAUUUUAUUCAUUAUCUUUUUAACAGAAGCAGUACACGCUUGGCAGAAAGGGCAGAAUAUUGGGGUUUGUCACCUGGGGAAAUGACGCAGAAGCAGCAAGUGGCAUCAUUCUCUGACCUGCCCUAGCCAUGGGCUCUGCACUGCCACUAGGUUGUGGGGAGACCACCACAAAAUCCCCAAUAAAAUACAUUCUGGCGGCUCCCUUUGUGAUGUCAAAACCAGCCGUAUACUUUUUACAUUGGUUCCAUUUGGAGCUAAAUGUGGUUCCCUCCUAGCCUCAGUCUCUGCAACAGCAAGCUAGAAACCCAUGUUCUUUCAGGACAUUCAAGAUGCUUCUUAUUGGGGGGCACCAAGAAGAGCCAGAGAAGAUCCCGGAGGAGCUAACUGCCCCUCUCCCACCACCCGUGUCUCACCGGGACAUGGGGAAGAAAGAGUCUGGUGUGGCUGACGACCCAGCUGGAGGGGCAAGCUGAGGUUCCUGCAUUUUUAUGAGGAAAGGGCAGAAUCAGAGGCUUUCCUAGCCUCAGUGGGAGAGUUCAAGGGAGCCAACGAGUGGGAUGUUGACAUGCCGGGGGUCCUUGGGGGCAGUAUUUAGAGGGUGUCCACGCUGGAGCCUGCACAUCUCCAUGGGUGACUAUAUGCACACACUCUCUCAUUUUUUUUUUGCUACAUGUCAUCUUUAAGCAUUAAUUUUUACCUUUAUAUUUAUUUAUACCCCUCCUACCUCCAUACCUCUAUAAAGGAAGCCCUGGUGGUGUAGUGGUUAAGAGCUCAGCUGCUAACCAAAAGGUCAGCAGUUUGAACCCACCAGGCGCUCCUUGGAAACCCUACGGGGCAGUUCUACUCUGUCCCAUAGGGUCACUAUGAGUCAGAAUCGACUCCACGGCAAUGAGUUUGGUUAUGGUUUGGACCUCCAUAAAGGAUUUGAGGUUGCUGACAAUUCAAAACAGUAAAACCUGAAGCCAUUAACAGAAAAAUAUAAAAAAAGAUUAGAGCUGUACAAAGAGGAGGGGGAGGAAAAAGGAGAGUAAUUAUACCAGAGGGGGAAAAAACUUAGAUUAAAGAAAGCUAAUGCAAUUGAGAACAAAACCUAGCUCCUAACUCCCUGGUAGCUUGGUGGGCGGCUGCCAGCUAUUGUAAUAACUAUAGAUUAUUGCACCUUAAAGGCAAGUUUAAAUGCCUGCUGUAACCUCGCCGGCUAAUGUGAACUUGGUCAAGUUACUUCAUCUCUCUGAACCUGUUUCCUCAUCUGCACAACAGGGAUUAACCCGCUCAUCGAAGGGCUGUUGUAAGAAUGCAAUUCAGCGGCAACAAUCACUGACACAGCUGCUCUCUGUACCAGCUGCAGCUCUAGGUGUUUUACACAGACGUAGCUCAGCAACUCUAAGAUGUGUUUUUUCCACAUCUUCAACAUCUCUGACACAGAUUAGAAAGCGCUGUGUCUUAAUUAUAUGACAGCAUGUUUUGUUUUUUUUUUUUACCUUUCUUAAUAAAGCCCAAACCCAUUGCCGUCAAGUCGAUUCCGACUCAUAGCGACCCUAUAGGACAGAGUAGAACUGCUCCAUAGUUUCCAAGGAGCACCUGGUGGAUUCGAACUGCCGAACUUUCGGUUAGCAGCUGUAGCUCUUAACCACUACGCCACCAGGGUUUCCACCUUCCUUAAUAGGACCUAAAAUAAUGGUGCAUUGUAGAUGGGAUAAAAUGUUAUUAACACAUUCAAUCCUCACAAUAACUUUAUGAGGUAGGUACUAUUUUUAUCCCAUUUUACAGAUGAGGAAACUGAGGUACAGAUAAUUUAAGUGACUUCUCAAAGGGCUACAGGUGGUGAGCAGUGGAGUUGGGAUUCUGAUCCUAGAUUAUUUGACUCAACCCCUAUGCUAUACUGCCUUUCAACAGAUAAUUCAGCACCAAGUAUAUCAAUAAAAAUUUCACUUCUGGUCACUGGGAAUACCAAAGUGAAAAGAUAUGUAUCUGCCCUAAAGGAUCUGACUCUAGGCUCCGGCAGGGGUACCGCCAUGUAAACCCAUCAUUAAAUCAUAGUUUGUUCAGUGCAUCAAUGGAAAUAUGUUCAAGGCAUAAGGCAGAGAAGGGACAGAUGAUUAACUGCUCCAAAGCCUCUGCCCUAGACUUGGCUCUGUAGUAGAAAAUGCCCCUCAGGCAGGUUAGGAGAGACACUUUUUUUUUUUUUUAGUUCUGAGAAGAGUCUGUCAGGUAGGUCUUAAAAUAGUCGUCAGGGAACAGUAUUAGUGGACUUGUUCUCAACAGCAGAGGACAGAAGCGUAGGUGGUUCACCCAUGAUCAUGUCUAGUAUUAAAGUGCAUGAGAGCUGAGGCCAGGAGUCUUGGGGGAGCAUUGUGCUCUCAGGCAACGUUUGGAAGUGGCCUUCAGGGAAGAGACAGAGGGAGAGGUUUGGCUUUCAGAGGCUAGAGCUGAAGGCUUUGUACCUGAACACCUAAGCCAGGAAGGUGAGGAGUCAGGGAAGGAUCUGAAAAGUAGAAAAAGAGGAAGGGAAAACAGGAGAAGGAACUGCUAGUUUCAGAAUGGGACAACAGUCUUUGGGAAGCAGUAAGGGGCAACGGUAAAGAAUCAGAGUCAGAGGAAGAAUACUUGAGGGUUAAGACCGAAUUUUGCCUCUUAGGAACACAUGUAGGCUCAAACACAGCAAUGAUUGUGAGACUGGCACAAGACCGGCUAAGAUUUUCUGUUGUACGUAGGGUUGCCAUGAAUUUGAACCGACUUGAUGGUACCUAAUAAGAACAACAGGAACACAUUAUCCUUUCAAUCUCAAUUUUAUCAUCUGUCUAAUGGGCAUAAAAACAUCACACUCACCUACCUCACACAGUUGCUAGAAGAUCAAUUAGAAUAAUAUAUGUGAAAGUACUUUCCAAACUAAAUAAAACUAUGCAAAUAUGAGUUAUUAUUGUCUUUCUAGCCAGGCAUUUCCUCUUUCAUUUCCUUAUUGCUGUGUGAGCUUGGACAAGUUAUUACAGGGGAAAAAGAGAGCACAGGGCAAGUUUCAGGGCAGUUACUAACCAGGCUUGAAAAUGAAGCUCCUCUUGGCUGGGUGUCUCACUGACUCUUCAACCUAGUGAGGAAGCUUGGGGGCUGCAGGGGGUCCCUCCUCCAGAGUUCAGGGACUCUGCACUGUGGGGUUGGGAUGGGAUCUUAUCCUUUAUUCCUCACUGACCCCACUCGUCUGGCCCCCCAGCCAGCGGGAAGUGAGCUGACCCUUUAAGAAAGCUUUGGGCAUAUCUUCUUCCAAGAAUUAGGACUUCAGCAAAACAAACUAACCAAACAUAGCCAAAGCAAAAUCUCUACGGACAGAACUUCCUGAUAAAGAAUCUUUUAUGAAAUUUCAAAUAGAGUAGCCACUAUGUUAUGGAAACAUCUAGAGCAAAUAAGAAAAGAAAAUUUCACUGAACUGCAGUCCUCGGCCUUAGCCAUGGAGGUCUGUGACCCCUUACAUUGUAGCCUGCAGGAGGGAGGGGUCUAUGGAGCCUGACGUCCAAGUCCAAGGGUCUGCCUUAAUCUGAAGGCCUCACACAAAGCCCCUAGCCUGGGAAGGAAAGACAGCCUAUGCACGCUGAGGGAACUGGUGUUAACAGGCCACACUAGGGGCGUUAGAGACUCCAGGCCGUUUCCUGGGAGGGAUAAGGAAGGAGGAAGUGGGAGGAGAAAGAGGAGGAGAUGAAAAGGGCUGAGAGCUGGGGAGGGUAAAGCAAAAGGAAGGGUUAAAAAGGACGGGGGAAGUGAAGAGAAGGAGAAGACAGUGAAGUGGAAGAGACCUGGGCCCGCAAAAAAGGGAAAGAACAGAGUAGCCAUUUGUACGUCGUCUUCGUCGAGGGCCUGGAAUCUCCCAGCCUCCUCCUGGUCCCCUCUUCCCCAGACCCGUCCCAGCUCUCCCACUUCUCUUCAUUCCUCACCCUUCUGGGAGAUGCGGGGGCCUUCCGAGCAAGGCCUGCCUCCCUUGGCAGCAGACAAAAGGCCAUUUCUGAGUUACAAAGAAAAUGUGUUAGUUUGCCAGAGGGCCGGGUAAGGGCUGCCCGGGCCAAUCCUGGGCCGGGCGGGGCGGAGCGUUAGCAGAGGGGGCCUGUCAGUCACCAGGAACCCUCGUGAAAAGGGCCCCUUGUCAACUUCCCCUGCCUUUGAAGUGACUGGGAUGGAGGUGCUCAAUUAAAAGCCCAUCAGUCUUGGAGAACAGGGCCUAUGAAGGCAAAGUACCCAGGGUCCAGAAAAGUGAAAAUGUGGCCCCUGCUCCCUAGGGUGGUUGUCAGCCACUGAAGGCUGGGGCAGAAGAAAAAGCCUUUUGGAGCAGCUGACCCCUGAAGUCAGAGCAAAGGAGAGUGAAGAAAACUGAAGACUCAAGGAAGCAAUAAGUCCAAAGGACUAAUGGACCAUGGGAGCCACAGCCUCCACCAGUCUGAGACCAGAAGAACUAGAUGGUGCCCAGCUACCACUACCAAUGGCUCUGACCAAGAUCACAAUAGAAGAUCCAGUUAGAGUGAGAAAAAAAAAAAAUGUAGAACAAAAUUCAAAUUCAUAAAAAAAGACUAGAUUUACUGGUUGGAGAGAGACUGGAGAAAGCCCUGAGACAAUAGCCCUUGGAUACCCUUCUAACUUGGAACUGAAGCCAUUCCAGGAGAUCACCUUUCAGCUAAAUAAUAGACAAGCCUGUAAAUAAACAAGAACACACAUGAGGCUAGUGUUCCUUACAGCAAUCACCUACAUGGGACCAAAAGGGGAGGAUCUGCCCAAAAGCAAGGCAGGAAGGGGAAGGAAAAACGGACAGAUAGAAAUGGGGGACUCAAGAUGAUAAUGAGGACAGUGCUGAUACACUGUGGGGAUUGAAACCUAGGUCAUGGAACAAUUUGUGUAUAAACUAUUGAACGGGAAACAAAUUUCCUCUGUAAACCUUCACCUAAAGCACAAUUAAAAAAAGAAAAGAAAAGAAAAAAAAGAGUGAAUUCACUGUUAAAAGGCAAAAGGCCAAAUAAUGAUGUAACAAAGAUGAUGGAUUAAAUUAGGAGUUAGCAAAUUAUGGCCCCUGGAGCCAAAUUCUGCCUGGCACCUGUUUUAGUAAAUAAAGUUUUAUUGGAACACAGCCAGGUCCAUUAAUUUACAGAUUGUCUCUGGCUACUUUCAUGCUCCAACAACAGAGUGGGCUGGUUGAGACAGAGACCCUGUGGCCUGCAAAUUCUAAAAUAUUUACAAUUUGGCCCGUUACAGAAAAUGUUUACUGACCUCCAGAUUAAAUGAUGGACCCUCAUGUUAAGGUGAAAAAAACUGAGCUGACAAUGAAAAAAAGCUAAAUCAAUGUUACCUUUCUGCUGGUAAGGCUACCACCAGAGGCACAGCUUCUGCAAACCAUCAUUUUCCGUUAUAAUAAAUUAAUCUUGCGAAUUUAAAUUUUGUCGGUUUGGUAGUUUUAAUUGCAUUUAUUCUGUAAGUUUGUUUUUAUUUUAUAUUUGCACAAGGGCUAGGAGCAUAAAGAUUUAUGCCUAGAUUAGCAUUUGUAUGUAUUAACUUGAAUGUAAAAUAAUUUAAAUCAACCCCCUGGGGACUGUUGAGUUUUGUUUUUCCCCUUUAUAGAUGCUCUCGUUCCUUUCCUGCUUAAGUCUGAAAGCUACUGGUUUAAAGGCAGCUGUUGGGAGUUUGUGUCUAGGCUUUGCUAAAUUAUACUAUGGUUAUUAUUAAUCGUCUCCCUUUAAACGUGUUAGGGAGCCCUGGUGGUGCAGUGGUUAAGAGCUCAGCUACACUCCAAAAGGUCGGGAGUUCGAAUCCACCAACCACUCCUUGGAAACCCUAUGGGGCAGUUCUUCUCUGUCGUACAGGUUUGGGUGUUCCGGGUUUUUAAACUUGUUUGGGGCCGAGGAGCGACAUUAGUAAAAAUUUCUUUCCUUUCUAGUUUGAUGCAUGUGUUUACCUUCUGUCUCAGUCAACUAGUGCUGCUAUAACAGAAAUACCACAAGUGGAUGGCUUUAAGAAAGAGAAAUUUAUUCUCUCACAGUCUAGUAUGCUGUAAGUCCAAAUUCAGGGCAUCAGCUCCAGGGGAAGGCUUUCUCUCUCUGUCAUCUCUGGAGGAAGGUCCUUGUCAUCAGUCUUCCCUUGGUCUGGGAACAUCUCAGGGCAGGAAUCUCAGGUCCAAAGGACGUCGCUCGCUCCUGGCACUGCUUUCUUGGUGAUAUGAGGUUCCCGUGUCUCUCUGCUCACUUCUGUCUUUUAUAUCUCAAAAGAGAUUGGCUUAAGACUCUGUCUAAUCUUGUAGACCUCAUCUAUAUAACUGCCACUAAUCCAUCUCUGGAACCCCUUGUGGCAUAGUGAUUAAGACCUACGGCUGCUAACCAAAAGCUCGGCGGUUCAAAUCCACCAGAUGCUCCUUGGAAACCCUAUGAGACAAUUCUACUCUGUCCUAUAGGGUUGCUAUGAGUUGGAAUCUACUUGAUGACAACAGGUUUUUUGGUUUAAUCCAUCAGUUAUAUCACAGUGAUAGGAUUUACAACACAUAGGGAAAUGACAUCAGAUGACAAAAUGGUAGACAAUCAGCCAACACUGGAAAUCAUGACCUAGCCAAGUUGACAGAUAUUUUUGGGGGACACAAUUCAAUCCAUGAUACCUUCUAAAUUGGAAAAUUCAAGAGAAAAGAAACUUAUUAGGAGGCAACUACCUGAGCCUUGCAUUCUGUCCGUUUAAAAUUUGGGGACUACAGAAUUUGGAUCACUGCUCCAUUACUCUUCCUCUUUCAAAAUGUGGGGCAGGUUGUUACAGCUGUUUGCUUUCAAAGUAAGUCCUCUGCCCCGGGCCAGACUACUGGAGCCCAGCAGACUUGUGUGGGGAGUUUAGGGACUGGGAGUCCUUUCCUGUUAGUUGUUCUCUAGAGUUGGACUGACUGUAAAUUCCCAGAGCUUGAAUUUGACAUUCACUGUCUGAUACAAAUCUGUAUGUCACUUUUAGAAUCUCCAUGUGUCAUAGGAUCAUAAUAUUUUACAGCCAAAAAAAAAAAAUCGAAGUUCAAAGAAGCCAAGGCUUUUGCCCAAGGUCACACGGCUGGUAAGAAGCGGAACUAGGAUUACACUAGCUAGCUACAUUAAGGAAACAAAAGACAAAAAAAAAAAAGCAACAACAAACUCACGGAAAACUACCCACCCAAAACACAAACAGCAACAACAACAAAGCAAAUCUGACCAAACAAAAAAGCUAAUGUAAUCUUAGCCCUGAAGUUAAAAGUAUAAAACCACACGACUGUACGGCUCUGAAGAUUUUGUUUAUGACAUUAACACGGAAAUGUUGGUUAUUUUUAUUUUUAGAAACUCUCUUUAAUUUUGUCCCGAGAUGAUUUUUAUAGCCUCCUAUCUACUCUUUGUUCUCUAAGCCUUACAACAGUCUUCAGUGGGGAGCAAUAUAAUUCUGACCUACAGUUGGUCGAGUGCAAGUAUUCUUGAAAGGCCUUAUGCCUUCUGGGCCUCCAAUCUGAAAACAAGCUCAGGGCAGCCUGGAAGAGUGAAGUGAGCUUUUUGAAACACAAAUCUGUUCAGAUCUCCCCUGCUUAAUCCUCCCGACAGGUCUCCAUUGCUUCAUGUUGGACACAGCUCCUGGGCCUGCCGGUGCAGUCCUCGCCUUUCUGGCCUCUGCUGACCCCUGUUUCCCUUACUCCUCCACCUCCAGGCCCUUGUCCCUGCUAUGCUCUCUUCUUCUUGCCUCUCAGCUCAGCAUCACUUCCUCAGGGAAGCCUCCCUUGUCCUUCCUGACCAGGGCUGUCCCCUCUUAAGGUGCUCUUGUAGCAUCCUGCCUGUUUCCUUCUCCAAGCCCCCAAGACCCCAACCACUAUUGCAAAUUUGCUUUAUUUAUGUGAUUAUCCUCCCCCACCACAGACUCUGUGAGGCGGAAAUAGUGCUUUCUUCUCCAUGGCAUCACCAGACCAGUGCCUGGCACCUAACAGAUUCUCAAUAAGGAUUUGCUGAACACUGAAUGAAUGAAGUUUUGAACCAGUGUCGGGGGAAAGAAUCUCAGCAGCGUAGGUGGCAGCAGAAUGUCACAGAAAGAGAACCCAGUUUGGAGUCACUCAGACCGUUUAUUUAAACCUCUGGGCACCAUCCACUUGGUUCUGGAGCCAUGCCCUGCCUGGCUGAACAGCCCUGGAAGCUGUCAUCACGAGUGUGUGUUCGUGCUGUCCUUACAGGGGAUCUGCUGGGUAGCCAUGGAGGAAGGACUGGGAGUUGAAGAAUUCACAAAGGCCAUUGAAGUGGUGGCAGCAGGAAUGAGAAGAGGUGGCCCUGAGGAGGCAGGAUGACCUGAAUAUGUGGCCCAGUUGAAGCCCACAGCAAUUACUGCCUCUUUGAGACUCAAAGUAUCUGCCCCUAGCCUUUUGUGGGAUAAAUUUAGAUUGAUUUGUGUGAUGGCUAAUGUUUGUGUCAACUUGGCUAGGCCAUGAUUCCUAGUAUUGUGUAAUUGUCCCCCAUUUUGUGGUGUUGUGUAAUUACGUGUUGUAAAUCCUAAACAUCUGUUGUUAAUGAAGCAGGAUUAGUGUGGGGUGUACCUUACUCAAUAUACCACCUUACUCAAGUGAAGGGCAUUUCCUUGAGGGUGUGGCCUGCAUCCAAGAUAUAUAAAUUCUCUGGAAAAGUGCUUUUUCACUCUGGAUCCUUUAACUGGCUCAUCAUCAUCUGACCUCCGGUUCAUGGGACUUGAGCCAGAAGCCUGCUGUCUGAUCUGCUGAUACUGGCAUUCACCCACUUCCGCAGCCCUGUGAGCCAGCAGCUCUUGUCUGACCUGAUUGUGCCUUCUCUACCACUGUACUUUGGAAAAAGAUAACUUGUAGCCUAGAUUUCACAGGUUCACGGAUGAAGAGGAAUUUUGCCCCAGGACGGAAUAUGCCUAAGGCCUCACCUGUAUUUGAUUUAGAUGAUUUAGAAGAUGAAAUUUUGGACUUGGAGUUGAUUUAAAACUUUUGGGAUGAUAUAAUGAGGUGAAUGUAUUUGACCUGUGGCAAGAACAUGAAUUUUGGAGUACCAAAGGGAGGAAUGUCAUGGAUUGAAUUUGUCCUGCCAAAAUAUGUGUCAACUUGGCGAGGCUGUAUCAGUAUCUCAGUAUCGUGUGGUUGUCCUCCAUUAUGUGAUCUGAUGUAAUUUUCCUCCAUUUUAUGAUGUGUGAUAAAUCCUCACCUCUAUACGCUAACGAGGAAGGAUCAGUGUGGGGUGUAUCUUGAGUCACAGCCUUACAAGAGGAUGUGACUCAAGUCACACUCGUAAUGAAGUCACACCCUUAUUCAAGUCAUGCCCUUGCUUGAGUCAUGUUUUUAAUUUUACAAGAGAUAAAAGGAGAGAGAAGCGAGCAGAGAGGAGAAGGACUUCACUAUCACCAAGAAAGAAGAGCCAGGAGUGGAGCGCGUUCAUUGGUCCCAGGGUCCCUGCACUAAGAACCUCCUAGAUGUAGGGGAAGAUUGAUGCCAAGAAACAUGGAGAUCUCCAAGGAAUGCUAGGCCCAUAGAUGUUGAAAGGAGACAAGUACCUUCCUCCCGAGCCGACAGAGAGAGAAAACCUUUCCCUAGAGCUGGCACCCUGAAUUUGGACUUCUAGCCUCCUAAACUGUGAGAGAAUAGAUUUCUGUUUGUUAAAGCCAUCUACUUGUGGUAUUUCUGUUAUAGCAGCGCUAGAUAACUAAGACAGGUUGUUAGGUGUGGGCAUGGAGUUUAGAAAUUACAGGGUUUCACUGCUCAGCAAGGGCUGAAGUCUGGCCUUCAUGUGACUUUUCACUGGGUUCGUGUGUACUUUCCUUCUGACUGCUUACAACCCUCCAUAAUCUGGCUCCAUCCACAUUAUUUGGACUUGGUUCCUCCCCACUAUUCUGUGUCUCUAAACUUUGGCCCCCUCACAGGGCUUUUGUGACCCUUCUCUUCUCCAUCCAUCCAGUUCUGCACCUUCUUCAGGGUUGAGCUAAAGUUGUAUUUUCCUCUACAACAUGCCCCUGGCCACUUUAUUUUCUCUGGCCAGUUCAAAAUCCACAUAAUGGUCUUUAGCAUGAAAUUAAACACAAUUGCAUAUUUCCCUUAUUGAUUUGCUAUUUCCCUGAUCUGUCCCAUCUCCUCACUGAGUGAUUUGGAUGGAUGAUAUCUAUGGUCCUUCCCAUCUAUAACAUUCUUGAACUCUAUGUCUAUUUGUUUUAUCUCCUCCUCUGGACUGUAAACUUCUCAAAAACAGGGAUAAUAUCUUUUCUUUGAACUGAAUCUCUCAAUAUUCUAGCCUAGUACUGGGCUCUGAAUGGGUAUUCCAUAGGCAAUUAUGAUCACCUGGUCAAUUUGUGUCCCUUUUCCUGCUGGGAGUGGAAGGAGUGAGGAGUGGCUUAGAUGCCCUGAAAGCCUGAUCUUAUAGCCUGGCCUGAAGAGAAAUUGUUGUGCAAACUUUGAGGAUAUAGUAAAAAUUGUCAUGGUUGUCUCAACUCUUGAGGAAUAUUCUGUUCCAGGGAACUUCCACUGGGGAACAUUGCCCAGCAUAGGGAGAGGUCUUAUGAAGGGGACCAGGGAACUCCCCUUUGGCAAAAAUGCAUUUUAUAAUGUAGAAGGAAAAAAUUGCUCAACUUAGUUCGUAUCUUGGUUUGGUCAUUUACUACCCAUACACUUGACCUGGGAGAGUCUUGUUUUCUCACUUCUAAGAUGGUAAUUACAAUAUUGCCCUGUCUAUCUCACAGGGUUGUGGUGGGAAUAAAAGGAUGACAUGAUACGUAAAAAUUUUUUAUAAAUCAUGAAGCUAAUUGAGGUAAGUGUGGAAAGUCUGAGGAGAUGUGAGGUAUGGUUACGUAACAUCUCAACAUAAAAAGUACAAUUCAUCCAAAGGCUCUCUCACUACUGAACAAAGAACUACUUCUCAUCUCUGGAUAAUACCCUGUAAAGACCCUCCACCCCUCCUGGGGCGGGGGGGGAGGGGAACUUUACAAAACUCAAUACAAAAAGAAAAAUGAAAGUAGAGACAAGUAAGAGCGAACAUCCUGGAAGAUUCUGAAACUCGACCCUGGGAAGGGAGGAAAGAUGAACAAACAGAAGCUGCUAUUAGCUACAAGAUGCUUCCUUUGGGGAAUAAUCUCUGUGAAGGCAAACCGAAGAUCUGAACUUUGCCUUGAACAGGCCUCGGCUUCAGCACAGAGAUGAUGGCUGUGGCUGGUAAGAUAGAAGCCUCUGAGAUGUGGCCUUCCUGCCCAUUCAUGGGGUUUCACCAGCUCGAGGUGGUGCUAUAGGGUAUGGCUCUUCUUUCUUGGUGGUAGUGAGGUCCCUCCUCUCUGCUUGCUCCUCUCUCGUAAGAUAAAAGGUGUGACUCAAGCAAAGGAGUGACUUGAGUAAGGGUAUGACUUGGAAGCUGUCCCCUGAGUGGGCACCAUCGCCUUGUCUCUUAACACGCCAGUAGCUUGCGUGAACAGGCAGUGCCAAGGCUCAUGUCCUGGACUUUGACUAGACUCUUAUUGCACUUAGCCUGUCCACACAUUGUUGCCUCUCUUCUUCUUGUCCUAUCCCAGCUUCCCCUCUCUUCCCACAUUCGUCUGUCUUGUCUUACUUAUUUUCACCCCAUGAGUCAGAAGUUAGAGGGACCCCAAAGCUAGGGACUGGGGCUCCCACCUUCUAUAAAGCUAUUUGUGUGCAAACAAAGGACUCCCCCCACCCCCAGCAUCAUCACUCUCCAAGAUGAUGAUUGAGUUUUUCCCCUGUUCUGCUUGAUAUUUCUGCCAAAGAAAGAAAAAUCCUUGUUGAAGUCUAGCAGGAAAUCCAAUAAAAAUUCUUCAAAAGAUGGGCUUGACAUUGAAAAACAGCAAAAUUAUAAAAUAGGCCUUAGAAAAGAGAGAGGAGAGUUAUUAUAUCUGGCACCAAGCAAAAGCCCCGAGACCCCGUCCAAAUGAGUCCUCACAGAUUGAAAGUGUUUAGCUUCCCGUUGAUUAAAUAUGGAGAAGGACCCAGGGCCUGCCAAGCCUCGGGGAUCCAAAGUUUGUUUUCAGUCAGAAUGUGUUUUCAGUCAAUGGAAAAAAUGGUCGGCCUGCACUGGGCUAUGUAACCGAGAAGCCCCAGGUUUGGAGUGAGUAAUGGCUGUGAAGCAGAAAACCAUGAGGGUUGUUAAUCAUCACUUGCAGGGCCCUGUAAUUUAACUCAGCUACUCAUUCAACUUGGUAAAGCUCCCCCCGCCCCUUUCGUCCUUCUCCCUCAGUUCAGUUUGCUCAAGGGGGAAGAGAUGGGCCCUUCUGGUAUUUGUGUCUAUAUAUCAGUUCCUAAACUCUUCACCCCCAAGACAUUCUGCUCCCCAGUCAUACCCCUACCCUUCCGUUGCUCUGGGACACAAGAACAGAGAAAGGAGAGGCAUUCAUGUCUAUGGGAUUCUUUCAGGGAAAUUCUUUCUCCCAAGAACUUCCGGGAGUCAAGGCCUGGAAAAAUCUCUUCCCCCACCAUUGCCUUUCCAGGGUUGGCUGUUUUUCAGAGGCGUUUACUGACAUUCUUUAAACAGGGUUGGUUAUCUUAUGCCAGCCAUGAAAUUUUCUCUUCUCCUGGGCUCUCAUCCUUCCCACCUCAUUCCUUUACAAUUAAGCACAGAGGAAGUCUGGUUUCUGAUGUCAUGAAAGUCUCCAUGUGAGAGAGGCUCUGUGAGAGAGAGAGAGAGGGUGGGUGGAGAGAGAAUGUGUGGAUGUACUGUGUUUGGAGCUGAAACUCUGAGAGAAACAGGUGGAUUCGGACUGAACUGGCAAAUACUGUACACGUUUUGCAGUGAAGGAGGAUUAUGACAGCACAAACUCCAGUCUUCAGGCCUGGAACAGAGUUGGGAGAGUUCCUCUAGGUCUUAAAGAAAGGAUCAGAAUGAGACGUGAGUUGCCCAAGAAGUCAUGUAUUGCUUACCUGGAAGCCUGGAAAUCCCAGUCCUUGGCUGCUCUUGAAGUCCACUCCUCCUCCAUGUUGGGAAAGAUGUUUCCAAGAGCUCGGAAUCAAGCAGAGCCCACGCACACCACAGGGUGCUGAGAUUCUUCCCAGAGACAAAACUCCUUGAACUUGUCCUCAGUUAGCAGCCGUCUGAUGCUGGUGCCCCUUCUGCAUCAUCUGAAGUAUCAGAAGGAGUCAUGAAGCCCCGGGGACUGGCUAAGAUGACUUCCUACUUUAUCUGGACCAAGAGUCACAGGUUCCUGACUGCAUCUUCAAUUUAGCAGGAAAAUGACAAAAGUGGAAAAGGAGCUGUCACCUGAAACAUGAAUGGGAACUUUAAAUGUAAACAUCCCUUUUCCAUCCAUCACUUUUAAAUACUUGUCCUCCUUCACUGGCAAUAUGCUUUAAAGUGAAGCUGAAAAGAAGUGGCAGCUUGCUGGCUUUUUCUUGACUGUGCCCGUACCAGACAUCACUAAUUGAGCGCAGCAUACCUUCCCUCUGAGAUGGUGCUUCAUGCAGCGUGCCCCCUGGUGUUGUAGGCAGCCCCCACCAGUCAGUGUAGCAUGUCAGAUGAAUCCUACUUGCCGUUGUCUGUUUUAAAGUCUUAAAAGUUUACUACUCUUUUAAAUACUAAGGAACAUUUUUAUGAAAGCUGGGAGAAAUUUGAUAAUGUCUAGUGUGUUGAGAAUUUCAAAAUAUAAAAUGGAGGUUGAUGGUGGGGCUCUGAGACCAGGAUAUUCUCAUUUCUCCCAACCUCCUUGUGAUUUAAUGAUGUGAAUAUACGUACAGCAAAUAUAAUAAGACAUAAAUGGAGGAAUAACCAGGUGACUUAGAUCAAUAGUUCUCAGCCUGAAUGAACAUCUGAAUUUCUCCCUCGUUUAUUAUGCAGAUUCCUGGGCCUCAUUUCAGACUAAAUCAGGAUUUCUGGUCAGGGAGCCUAGAAAUCAGCAUUUUUACCAAAUAACCCAAGUGAAUCUUCUGUGGUAUGCCUGACACCAGCCCAUGAACCUAUGUUUGGGAGCCAGUGACUUAAAGGGUAGGAACACUUUUGCUUUUGUCUAUGUCUUUGGAUGGUGGACAAAAAGAAAAAAAAAAAAUUCAUUCCCCAUAGCUGAGCUGCCUUACAUUCCAUGGUAUCCCAGGUGGUACAAAAACUGUAGUCAUUUGGAAAUCCGAAAGGAAGUUGCAAUGUCUAAAGGCAUUGGCCAUUUGGAUGAGCAUGAAUCAGGCAUAACUGAGAUCAGUUUUUAGGAUGGAUCUGAAUUACCAUGCAUCCAUAUUAUCACUUGGGCUCGGUUUCAAGAGGAACUGAGAGAGAAGAAAGCAGUUUGUUUUGAUCAAGAAGACAGAAUAUCCCACCAUUUCUGGCUAUAGGGUCAAUGUUUGAAUCCACUUGGCUUUCUGGAAGUUAUAGAGAUAGUAACAAAUACCAUAUAUGGUGCAUCUAUUUUAUGUGGACAGCUCACUAGAGCUAUAGACAAAUUACCUAACGCAGUCCUUAAAAUAAUCCUACUAAGAAGUUAUUACAUAAAUGAGGAAACUGAGACUCAGAAAGUUUAAGUAACUUGCCUUGAGUGACACAGGAUGUGGAUGUGAGCUAUAAACCUAAAACUAACUCAGAACUCAAAAUCUUUUUUUCUUGUUUACUAUACUCCAACAAUCUGUCUUGGAAGUACAGCCAGAAUGCUCCUUAGAAGCGAAAACAGUAAGACUCCAUCUCCCUGGAGAAGGACAUCAUGCUUGGGAAAGUAGAGGGUCCACGAAAGAGAGGAAGAUCCUCAGUGAGAUGGAUUAGCAUAGUGGCCGCAACAAUGGGCUCAAAUACAGCAACAACUGUGAGGAUGACGCAGGACGGGGCAGUGUUUUGUUCAGUUGUUCAUAGGGUCGCUAUGAGUCGGAACUGACUGGAUGGCACCUAACACAAUCAGCAACACCGCAACUGUGGUUUUCAAGAAAUAGCCUCUUUUAUGAUUGCCGAAGUCAAAGCAUGAGCCAUCUUCAGAUUUACAAACCUCAAGUCAGACUGAGAAGGGCUCUCACUAAAUACAGUAACGGUGGUCUCUUAAACUGUGGUAUUCCCAUUGGCUUCAUCAAAUUUCAUCAAGGUUAGCACUAACCUUAUCAAUUGUCUACUUUUGUGUGAAUAAAUUUUGGUAAACUAUUUUAGGAUUGUUCUUAUUCUAGUGUCCCAAAUUCACAUUUUUGAAAAGUUAAAAGGCUAUUCUUUACAGUUGUCAUUCAAAGGAAAAACAAAAGGAACAACCCAUGUGGUCCCCAUGCAUGCAUCCUUCCAUGGAUCAACCUACAUGUCCCUUUUGUAGAGCUUAUUCUGGGUAGUGCAUGUAGAGAAGGACCCAUCUACUACCCACUAGGCUGUCUGACCUUCCAGUGCAGGUCAGAAGGUUUGGUUUCUAGGUAGCUCCUCCACUGACCAACUCUAGGACAAGUCAUUUUACUGCUCUGGGCCUAGGUUUCCAUCCAAAUUGGUUAGACUGGAAGUCAUAAAGUUCUCUUCUUGAUCUAAAACGUUAUGACCCUGGAAAAAAUGCUAGCUAUGGAGCCAAAAAA